rnacentral:pre_miRNA from 1 species
CGGUUUUCGUUGAGAUCUUAGAUAUAUUCAUCUGAGAUCACUGCGAAAGCUGAU